GGGUUGUGAGGUUAAGCGACUAAGCGUACACGGUGGAUGCCCUGGCAGUCAGAGGCGAUGAAGGACGUGCUAAUCUGCGAAAAGCGUCGGUAAGGUGAUAUGAACCGUUAUAACCGGCGAUGUCCGAAUGGGGAAACCCAGUGCAAUUCGUUGCACUAUCGUUAACUGAAUACAUAGGUUAACGAGGCGAACCGGGGGAACUGAAACAUCUAAGUACCCCGAGGAAAAGAAAUCAACCGAGAUUCCCCCAGUAGCGGCGAGCGAACGGGGAGCAGCCCAGAGUCUGAAUCAGCUUGUGUGUUAGUGGAACGGUCUGGAAAGUCCGACGGUACAGGGUGAUAGUCCCGUACACCAAAAUGCACAGGCUGUGAACUCGAAGAGUAGGGCGGGACACGUGGUAUCCUGUCUGAAUAUGGGGGGACCAUCCUCCAAGGCUAAAUACUCCUGACUGACCGAUAGUGAACCAGUACCGUGAGGGAAAGGCGAAAAGAACCCCGGCGAGGGGAGUGAAAAAGAACCUGAAACCGUGUACGUACAAGCAGUGGGAGCACCUUCGGGUGUGACUGCGUACCUUUUGUAUAAUGGGUCAGCGACUUAUAUUCUGUAGCAAGGUUAACCGUAUAGGGGAGCCGCAGGGAAACCGAGUCUUAACUGGGCGUUAAGUUGCAGGGUAUAGACCCGAAACCCGGUGAUCUAGCCAUGGGCAGGUUGAAGGUUGGGUAACACUAACUGGAGGACCGAACCGACUAAUGUUGAAAAAUUAGCGGAUGACUUGUGGCUGGGGGUGAAAGGCCAAUCAAACCGGGAGAUAGCUGGUUCUCCCCGAAAGCUAUUUAGGUAGCGCCUCGUGAACUCAUCUUCGGGGGUAGAGCACUGUUUCGGCUAGGGGGUCAUCCCGACUUACCAACCCGAUGCAAACUACGAAUACCGAAGAAUGUUAUCACGGGAGACACACGGCGGGUGCUAACGUCCGUCGUGAAGAGGGAAACAACCCAGACCGCCAGCUAAGGUCCCAAAGUCAUGGUUAAGUGGGAAACGAUGUGGGAAGGCACAGACAGCCAGGAUGUUGGCUUAGAAGCAGCCAUCAUUUAAAGAAAGCGUAAUAGCUCACUGGUCGAGUCGGCCUGCGCGGAAGAUGUAACGGGGCUAAACCAUGCACCGAAGCUGCGGCAGCGACACUAUGUGUUGUUGGGUAGGGGAGCGUUCUGUAAGCCUGCGAAGGUGACCUGUGAGGGUUGCUGGAGGUAUCAGAAGUGCGAAUGCUGACAUAAGUAACGAUAAAGCGGGUGAAAAGCCCGCUCGCCGGAAGACCAAGGGUUCCUGUCCAACGUUAAUCGGGGCAGGGUGAGUCGACCCCUAAGGCGAGGCCGAAAGGCGUAGUCGAUGGGAAACAGGUUAAUAUUCCUGUACUUGGUGUUACUGCGAAGGGGGGACGGAGAAGGCUAUGUUAGCCGGGCGACGGUUGUCCCGGUUUAAGCAUGUAGGCUGAUUGUCCAGGCAAAUCCGGAUAAUCAAGGCUGAGGUGUGAUGACGAGGUACUACGGUGCUGAAGUAACAAAUGCCCUGCUUCCAGGAAAAGCCUCUAAGCAUCAGGUAACAUUAAAUCGUACCCCAAACCGACACAGGUGGUCAGGUAGAGAAUACCAAGGCGCUUGAGAGAACUCGGGUGAAGGAACUAGGCAAAAUGGUGCCGUAACUUCGGGAGAAGGCACGCUGGUGUGUAGGUGAAGUCCCUGCGGAUGGAGCUGAGACCAGUCGAAGAUACCAGCUGGCUGCAACUGUUUAUUAAAAACACAGCACUGUGCAAACACGAAAGUGGACGUAUACGGUGUGACGCCUGCCCGGUGCCGGAAGGUUAAUUGAUGGGGUUAUCCGUAAGGAGAAGCUCUUGAUCGAAGCCCCGGUAAACGGCGGCCGUAACUAUAACGGUCCUAAGGUAGCGAAAUUCCUUGUCGGGUAAGUUCCGACCUGCACGAAUGGCGUAAUGAUGGCCAGGCUGUCUCCACCCGAGACUCAGUGAAAUUGAACUCGCUGUGAAGAUGCAGUGUACCCGCGGCAAGACGGAAAGACCCCGUGAACCUUUACUAUAGCUUGACACUGAACAUUGAGCCUUGAUGUGUAGGAUAGGUGGGAGGCUUUGAAGCGUGGACGCCAGUCUGCGUGGAGCCAACCUUGAAAUACCACCCUUUAAUGUUUGAUGUUCUAACGUUGGCCCCUGACCGGGGUUGCGGACAGUGUCUGGUGGGUAGUUUGACUGGGGCGGUCUCCUCCCAAAGCGUAACGGAGGAGCACGAAGGUUAGCUAAUCCUGGUCGGACAUCAGGAGGUUAGUGCAAUGGCAUAAGCUAGCUUGACUGCGAGCGUGACGGCGCGAGCAGGUGCGAAAGCAGGUCAUAGUGAUCCGGUGGUUCUGAAUGGAAGGGCCAUCGCUCAACGGAUAAAAGGUACUCCGGGGAUAACAGGCUGAUACCGCCCAAGAGUUCAUAUCGACGGCGGUGUUUGGCACCUCGAUGUCGGCUCAUCACAUCCUGGGGCUGAAGUAGGUCCCAAGGGUAUGGCUGUUCGCCAUUUAAAGUGGUACGCGAGCUGGGUUUAGAACGUCGUGAGACAGUUCGGUCCCUAUCUGCCGUGGGCGCUGGAGAAUUGAGGGGGGCUGCUCCUAGUACGAGAGGACCGGAGUGGACGCAUCACUGGUGUUCGGGUUGUCAUGCCAAUGGCACUGCCCGGUAGCUAAAUGCGGAAGAGAUAAGUGCUGAAAGCAUCUAAGCACGAAACUUGCCCCGAGAUGAGUUCUCCCUGAGACUUUAAGUCUCCUGAAGGAACGUUAAAGACGAUGACGUUGAUAGGCCGGGUGUGUAAGCGCAGCGAUGCGUUGAGCUAACCGGUACUAAUGAACCGUGAGGCUUAACCUUACAACGCCGAAG
rnacentral:rRNA from 1 species